UAGUCAGGUAGGUUAAUCUUUAAUUGUUCCUUUUUGUAGAGGGCAGAUGGAAUAUGAUUAUUGGAGUGUGCAUGAUUUGUGAUUAACAUCACUUAAGUAAUUAGGGCUCACAACAUCCUUAUUGUUCCUAUCUUAC